GGAGACGUGCCAGAGCGGUUUAAUGGAUCGGUCUUGAAAACCGACGAAGGUGCAAGCCUUCCGUGAGUUCGAAUCUCACCGUCUCCG
rnacentral:tRNA from 1 species